AUGGAGUCUGUGCUCCGCUGGGUUUUCCUUGUCACUAUUUUAAAAUGUGUCCAGGGUGAGGUGCAGCUGGUGGAGUCUGGGGGAGACCUAGUGAAGCCUGGGGGGUCCCUGAGACUCUCCUGUGUGGCCUUUGGAUUCACCUUCAGUAGCUACAGCAUGCAAUGGGUCCGUCAGGCUCCAGGGAAGGGGCUGCAAUGGGUUACAUGGAUUGGGUAUGAUGGAAGUAGCACAUACUACACAGACACUGUAAAGGGCCGAUUCACCAUCUCCAUAGACAACGCCAAGAACAUGCUGUAUCUGCAGAUGAACAGCCUGAGAGCCGAGGACAUAGCCCUGUAUUACUGUGCGAGGGACACAGUGAGGGGACCUCAGUGUGAAUCCAGACACAAACGUCCCUGUAGAAGGGGAUCAGGACCACCAGGGGGUGGACACUCCUAA